CCUAGCUCCAGAGGUGUCAUAGGCUUAUCCUAAACCUUUGUAAGGUAGUUGGCAGGCUCGUCUGCGGCUGGUGAAGUAGAAGUCUCUUAGACGGGUCGGGCCGCAUGGCCGUGCUCAUAAAGGCCCCGAUAUCUCAUGAGCCUGAGCCAGGAUCGGAUCUAUACUUUUUUGCCCAUGGUGCAAGGCAUUCUUGAAGCUGUGUGGG